GAUUGUUCACAGUCAGUUACAGAUCGAACUCCUUGUUCUACUCUUUCCCCCCUUCUCACUACUGCACUUGACUAGUCUUUU
rnacentral:sRNA from 1 species